rnacentral:rRNA from 1 species
UGGGAAUAUUGCACAAUGGGGGAAACCCUGAUGCAGCGACGCCGCGUGAACGAAGAAGGUAUUCGUAUCGUAAAGUUCUGUCCUAUGGGAAGAUAAUGACAGUACCAUAGAAGAAAGCUCCGGCUAAAUACGUGCCAGCAGCCGCGGUAAUACGUAUGGAGCGAGCGUUGUCCGGAAUUAUUGGGCGUAAAGGGUACGCAGGCGGUUUAAUAAGUCGAAUGUUAAAGAUCGGGGCUCAACCCCGUAAAGCAUUGGAAACUGAUAAACUUGAGUAGUGGAGAGGAAAGUGGAAUUCCUAGUGUAGUGGUGAAAUACGUAGAUAUUAGGAGGAAUACCAGUAGCGAAGGCGACUUUCUGGACACAAACUGACGCUGAGGUACGAAAGCGUGGGGAGCAAACAGG